AUAGUGUUGGCGAAUCAAGGUGACAUCUUCGUCUUAAAAGGGAAUCCGGUGAGAAUCCGGAACUGUCCCCGCAACUGUAAGUGUGGACGAACAGGCUAUCCACUGUAUUGCGAGCUUCAUGGCAGCUAUAUGGGAAGGGCCUCAGUAGACAGAAGCACGAGUCAGGAGACCUGCCUGGGUUCGGACGUUUCA
rnacentral:ncRNA from 1 species